GUACAUGUAUUAUUAAAUUUUCCUUUUUUUAUUUGCAAAGGAGAAUAAAUCAGUUUUAAUAGGUAAAUUUAAAAUUAGAAGAAUAGGGUUAUUCCCCUCUCAGUAUGACAAUGAAAUUCAUCAAUGCUGCAGUGCCUGAGAAACAAAACAUUAAUAUAUUUGGCCUAAAGGUGUAGGUGAUUUAUGUCUCAUAGCGAUGUCCACAGCCAGGUUGUAUUAAGCAGUUAUUUCCCUUGGUUUUGCUUCUUGGAACAAUUUCAUGUUGUAAUCCAUUAGGGUUGUAUGAGUUACUCUCAUUAAAGCAGUGUAAAGAUGCAGAGAUGGCUAGACAAACAUAGGAUUCCAGUCUCAUAGACACAGAGAUCACCAGACUGUGAUCUGGACAACAAUUUGCAGUUUUUACUUUCAAUCUAUGGCGAAAAUCAGAACUGUAUUGAUUAGAAAUUUGCACGUUUAAAUUUGAUGAUCAGACAUUUGUAAGUACAUGUGAUAUUAUAUAUGUUUCAACUUGUAUUCAUGUAGUCUGUGACUUUUUCUACUGAUUGGAUCAAUAGUUUGUGUAUACUGAGUACCUGCAUCAACUGUUUACAUUGAAGCAAGUGCAACUUUUCAAGCAUUUAUCUCUGAAUUUGGCAUUUAAAAAAAAAAAUUGUGUUGGCUUGAAUAUAAUAUACUGCUCAAUUAAUGGUGGGGUGAACCCAUGCUUCUCCCACAUAUUUAACAGAAAACAGCACGGCAAUGAGACCAGGAGAAUAAGUGGCUUCACCAUCUUCAUUUAAUUAAUUACUGAAUCAGCUGAUUAUUAGCCUUAAGAUUGUGCACUGUUAAAGGGAGGGGGAUGGGGGGACUGAAAUGUUUGAUUUAUAGACAACCUGCUCAGAUUUAAUGAAAUUACAAGUAUUUAUAUAGUCAAACUUCAUUAUCUCGAACUAGAUUGGACUGUUUAAAAACUUCGAGAUAUCCGAGUAUUCAAAAUAUAAAGGGUAAAAUACUUACAAUCACUUCGACAUAUUCAUUUUAUUCAAGAUAUCAGUGUUUGUGUUUGAGAUAUUGAAGUUCAACAGUCCUUAUUUUAUGUAAAUGAAAUUAACCAUAAAAAGAAGUGGUGGCAACUACCAGUUUCCUGGUACUCAGAGUAUAGUUUUGAAGGUAUUGAGUUAAAAUUUAAAAAGAAAUCUUUGCAUUUAAGAUACAUGUAGAUAUGAUAUCAUCAAACACUGUAAUUGUUAUUUGAUAGAUUGAACAAAUCAUUUGUUAUUGGUGAAAAAAAACCCACCAUGAGCUGCUCUUUUGGUAGUUUAUUGUUGGCUUAGCUUUGAAUUGUUGAUAACCAAGUUAUUUUAAAAUUUUUAUGAAAUGGAAAACAGAAAUCCAUUUGAUAUGGAUGAAGUGUUAAUUAUUUGUCAAACGCUGUAACUGUCCGUAUGUGUUGCUCACGUUUAUCAAAGAUAAACAAAUAAAAGUCCUCUACUCAAC
rnacentral:misc_RNA from 1 species